rnacentral:rRNA from 1 species
UACGGAGGGGGCUAGCGUUGUUCGGAAUUACUGGGCGUAAAGCGCGCGUAGGCGGACCUGCAAGUCGGGGGUGAAAGCCCGAGGCUCAACCUCGGAACUGCCUUCGAUACUGCGGGUCUCGAGUCCGGGAGAGGUGAGUGGAAUUCCUAGUGUAGAGGUGAAAUUCGUAGAUAUUAGGAAGAACACCAGUGGCGAAGGCGGCUCACUGGCCCGGUACUGACGCUGAGGCGCGAAAGCGUGGGGAGCAAACAGGAUUA